rnacentral:rRNA from 1 species
AUUGAACGCUGGCGGCAGGCCUAACACAUGCAAGUCGAGCGGAGCGGCGGACGGGUGAGUAAUGCCUAGGAAUCUGCCUGGUAGUGGGGGAUAACGUCCGGAAACGGGCGCUAAUACCGCAUACUAUCAGAUGAGCCUAGGUCGGAUUAGCUAGUUGGUGGGGUAAAGGCCUACCAAGGCGACGAUCCGUAACUGGUCUGAGAGGAGGAUCAGUCACACUGGGACUGAGACACGGUCCAGACUCCUCCAACAUUCUCACAUCAUUAAUAUUGGACAAUGUGCGAAAGCCUGAUCCAGCCAUGCCGCGUGUGUGAAGAAUAUCUUCGGAUUUUAAAGCACUUUAAGUUGGGAGGCGUUACCAACAGAAUAAGCACCGGCUAACUUCGUGCCAGCAGCCGCGGUAAUUC